rnacentral:rRNA from 1 species
CAUGCAGUCGGACGGCAGCGCGGGGGCAACCCUGGCGGCGAGUGGCGAACGGGUGAGUAAUACAUCGGAACGUGUCCUGGAGUGGGGGAUAGCCCGGCGAAAGCCGGAUUAAUACCGCAUACGCUCGGGAGAGGAAAGCGGGGGAUCUUCGGACCUCGCGCUCAAGGGGCGGCCGAUGGCAGAUUAGCUAGUUGGUGGGGUAAAGGCCUACCAAGGCGACGAUCUGUAGCUGGAUCUGAGAGCUCGACCAGCCACACUGGGACUGAGACACGGUCCAGACUCAUACGGGAGGCAGCAGUGGGGAAUUUUGGACAAUGGGGGCAACCCUGAUCCAGAUCAAACUCUGUGUGAAGAAGGCCUUCGGGUUGUAAAGCACUUUUGUCCGGAAAGAAAACUUCGUCCCUAAUACGGGUGGAGGAUGACGGUACCGGAAGAAUAAGCACCGGCUAACUACGUGCCAGCAGCCGCGGUAAUACGUAGGGUGCGAGCGUUAAUCGGAAUUACUGGGCGUAAAGCGUGCGCAGGCGGUUCGCUAAGACCGAUGUGAAAUCCCCGGGCUUAACCUGGGAACUGCAUUGGUGACUGGCGGGCUAGAGUAUGGCAGAGGGGGGUAGAAUUCCACGUGUAGCAGUGAAAUGCGUAGAGAUGUGGAGGAAUACCGAUGGCGAAGGCAGCCCCCUGGGCCAAUACUGACGCUCAUGCACGAAAGCGUGGGGAGCAAACAGGAUUAGAUACCCUGGUAGUCCACGCCCUAAACGAUGUCAACUAGUUGUCGGGUCUUCAUUGACUUGGUAACGUAGCUAACGCGUGAAGUUGACCGCCUGGGGAGUACGGUCGCAAGAUUAAAACUCAAAGGAAUUGACGGGGACCCGCACAAGCGGUGGAUGAUGUGGAUUAAUUCGAUGCAACCCGAAAACCUUACCUACCCUUGACAUGUACGGAAUCCUGCUGAGAGGGCGGAGUGCCCGAAAGGGAGCGUAACAACAG